GAUGAACGCUGGCGGCGUGCCUAAUACAUGCAAGUCGAGCGAAUGGAUUAAGAGCUUGCUCUUAUGAAGUUAGCGGCGGACGGGUGAGUAACACGUGGGUAACCUGCCCAUAAGACUGGAUAACUCCGGGAAACCGGGGCUAAUACCGGAUAACAUUUUGAACCGCAUGGUUCGAAAUUGAAAGGUGGCUUCGGCUGUCACUUAUGGAUGGACCCGCGUCGCAUUAGCUAGUUGGUGAGGUAACGGCUCACCAAGGCAACGAUGCGUAGCCGACCUGAGAGGGUGAUCGGCCACACUGGGACUGAGACACGGCCCAGACUCCUACGGGAGGCAGCAGUAGGGAAUCUUCCGCAAUGGACGAAAGUCUGACGGAGCAACGCCGCGUGAGUGAUGAAGGCUUUCGGGUCGUAAAACUCUGUUGUUAGGGAAGAACAAGUGCUAGUUGAAUAAGCUGACACCUUGACGGUACCUAACCAGAAAGCCACGGCUAACUACGUGCCAGCCGCCGCGGUAA
rnacentral:rRNA from 1 species